rnacentral:rRNA from 1 species
AAUCAACGCUGGCGGCGUGCCUCAGACAUGCAAGUCGAACGAUUAAGACUCCCUUCGGGGAGUGCAUAAAGUGGCGCACGGGUGAGUAACACGUAAGUAAUCUACCUUCGAGUGGGGAAUAACAUCGGGAAACCGAUGCUAAUACCGCAUAACGCAGCGGCACCUAAUGGUGACAGUUGUUAAAGGAGCAAUUCGCUUGAAGAGGAGCUUGCGGCAGAUCAGCUAGUUGGUAAGGUAAUGGCUUACCAAGGCUACGAUCUGUAUCCGGUCUAAGAGGACGGUCGGACACACUGACACUGAAUAACGGGUCAGACUCCUACGGGAGGCAGCAGUCGGGAAUUUUGGGCAAUGAGCGAAAGCCUGACCCAGCAACGCCGCGUGAAGGAUGAAGUUUUUCGGAAUGUAAACUUCGAAAGAAUGGGAAGAAUAAAUGACGGUACCAUUUAUAAGGUCCGGCUAACUACGUGCCAGCAGCCGCCGUAACAC